GAGGGUAGAGCUCAGUGGUAGAGUGUGUGCUUAGCAUGUACAAGGUUGUGGGUUCAAUCCCCGGUACCUCCA
rnacentral:tRNA from 1 species